CCAAUCAGCUAUUAGUCAAUGUCGACAACUGACACUUACUUGUAUAUUCUGCUAAGUGACUUAACAAAUAGGUUCAUUCACCAAACACGUUAGGAAACUCUAAAAAGAAUAGGAAGUAUAUCAGAUUCUUGAGUUAUACGGCUCACUCCACUUGAAUCCAGUGGUUGGUUUACAGCAAGCACCAGGUAGUGAUGUUCCUAAUGCCGUCUCAACAUCGCCACCUGCUGCUCAUUCCAGGUCCAAACAUUCGUAUCUCUAGUCACAGGCUGCGAGACACUUCCUCUGGGUGAGAAACAUUCCUGAACCUUGGGUACUCAUCAAACCCUAGUAGAACUAAAGGUAAUCAAUUGCACUCCUGAAGCCACUGGACAAAGGCAGUGGGGGAACUGUUGGCAAUGUGGGCAAUUAAGUGAUAAUUAUAUUUUACUGAAUUUCACAAAUUUUGUAAGUUUUGUUCUCUAUUUUCCAGCAUUUAGAACAAUGCCUGACACAUAGCAGCGACUCAGUAAAUAUAUACUAAAUACGUGAAUAUCCAAGGAGAAGGUGCUAACAUCCAGAUUUGCAUGUGCUGGGAGAGAAAGUUCUUCAUGGAUCUCUUGUGCUCCUACACAUCUCACAGGCAUUGUGCUAAGAACUGUUACAUAUGGCCAGUUGUGGUGACUCACGCCUGUUAUCCCUGCACUUUGGGAGGAUGAGGAGGGCAGGUCACUUGAGGUGAGGAGUUCGAGACCAGCCUGGCC